rnacentral:rRNA from 1 species
GCUCCCCUCCGGAGGUGUAGGGAAGUGGCGGUCUAGGGAGGAGGGUAGCGUACGGGAGGAGCGCUAGGAGGGUUGCAGGAGCGCGGCGACAGGAGAAGAAGAGACGCUGAGGAGACACGGGGUGCGGGACUGGCUGCGGCCGCUCAGGAGCCGUGAGGCGCGCGCGGAGCGUAGGUUGCGGCCCUUCCUAGCGCACUAAGGCGGACGCAGCAGCGGAGGCUGCGACCGGAGAGGAAGUGGUGGCGGGGACGGCCGUUCCAGGGGGAGCAGUACCGGAAGGAGCGGACCCACAUGCAGCGGUCGGCCGGUAUACCGUCCUGUGCGUCUGGGCCCGCUAGGAGAGGCCGGAGGAACUCUUCUCGUGGCCGUUAGAGGGGUUUCUCUAGAGUCACCUGCUGUUCGACUCCCUGGAGCCUACGUGCAUUAAAAAGCCAAGAGGUGACUUCAUAACUUCCGUAAUACUGUUGUACACAUGGUUGAACAACUAAUUUUUACUAACGGAAAGUUUCAAAGUUACUUGAAGAGUGACCUGUAAAACUGCGUAAGCGAACUUAGACGUAUAACGUAGUAAACACGUGUUACUUUUGACAUACUUGGACGUAACCUACCACAUAAACAUCCUUCCAAUAGGAAAGAAGUUCCUGACCUUCAAAGGACCAUUCACAAGGAAAAGACUUUUUGAGACACAAACAGGUGACAUUAUAAAACAAAUGUAGUCCAAAGAGAAAGGAAAACACCCGCAUUACAGCUCUGUUAUUAUAAGUCUUUCAACAACAAAGUCCCUUUGACGAUUGAGGUAUACGGUCUGGGUAUAGUAACAAGUCGUACGUAUCACAAGGAUACAGUAAGGAUACUACAUAAACAAAGGAAAAUAUAGUAUUAUCAGAAGUAAAACCGGUACAUGGAAGUUUGACUUGGUUU